rnacentral:rRNA from 1 species
GACGAACGCUGGCGGCGUGCUUAACACAUGCAAGUCGAGCGAUGAAGCACCUUCGGGUGUGAAUUAGCGGCGAACGGGUGAGGGACACGUGAAGAAUCUGCCUUCAACUCUGGGAUAACUCCGGGAAACCGGGGCUAAUACCGGAUAUGAGCCUUGAUCGCAUGAUCGGGGCUGGAAAGUUUUUCGGUUGAAGAUGACUUCGCGGCCUAUCAGCUUGUUGGUGAGGUAAUGGCUCACCAAGGCGACGACGGGUAGCCGGCCUGAGAGGGCGACCGGCCACACUGGGACUGAGACACGGCCCAGACUCCUACGGGAGGCAGCAGUGGGGAAUAUUGCACAAUGGGCGCAAGCCUGAUGCAGCGACGCCGCGUGAGGGAUGACGGCCUUCGGGUUGUAAACCUCUUUCAGUAGGGACGAAGCGCAAGUGACGGUACCUACAGAAGAAGGACCGGCCAACUACGUGCCAGCCGCCGCCGUAA